GCGUUGUCCGGACUUACUGGGCGUAAAGGGUGCGUAGGCGGUUGCAUGACGUCCGCGCUGAAAUCCCGAGGCUCAACCUCGGGGCGCGUGCGGAUACGAUGCGACGUUGAGGCUCGGAGAGGGUGGGAGAACUCCUGGUGUAGUGGUGAAAUGCGUAGAGAUCAGGAAGAAUACCCGUGGCGCAAGCGCCCACCUGGCCGA
rnacentral:rRNA from 1 species